AAGAAAAGAGCGAGAGAGAGAAGAUGACGAAAACGUCAAUGGCUUCCCUAAGGUCAUUCUCCGCGAGGUUCGUGGUUGCUCCGCUGAGUUUCCUUUCCACCGUCAAAUUCAAAGAAUCUGCAACUGAAGCCAACCUUCUCUGAAGAGCAAAAUCCUAACCCCGGGUACCAUCAGUUGGUAUUCCAGCACCAAAAAGGGCUCAACCUCUUGGUACCAUCUCUGCUGCUCCUUGGGGUUCUGCACUUAUUUUGCCAAUUUCAUAUUCAUACAUAGCCAUGAGUUCUAAGGGACUCACUGAAGCCUCAAAGAUAGCAACCUUGAAUGCAAACUACAUGGCAAAACGUUUGGAGAGCCACUACCCCAUUCUUUUUCGAGGAGUCAAUGGAACAGUCGCCAAUGAAUUUCAAGGGUAUACUGUUGGCUAUGUGAAUAUUAAAGCAAAAAUGUUGUUUAUACUUUGCAAGUUGAACUUAGACAUUGAUGCUCAAGGUCUAUUGUUCAGUUAAGAUUUGUCGGAACCGCAGGCAAAGAGAGAUAGGCCAUAUCCCCGUAACCGGGUGAAUGGGAAAAGGAGCUACCUUUGCUGGGUUUCUUAGUUCAAUAAGAAAAAGGAGGAAGCUUUAUAUGUUUUUGGUCGUGCUUUCCUUGGAUUUCUUUGAGAGGUUGGUCCGACUAUUGUGGAGAGUUGUUGGUGGUCUUUUUGGGUUAGGAAAGGAUUCUGUUUAUGGAGUUAUGGAGGGCUGGAACAGUGGUACUUUUUGUAUUUGUUAUGUUACUUUUUUUCUUUUCUAUCUCAUUUGUCUAUAUUGAAUUGUGCUUAAGAACAACCAAUGCUAUUGCCCAUUGUACCUAGAUAUAUAAAUUACUUUGUUAUAUACUACAGAAUAUGAGUAGCAAGAUAGAGUUACAAAAAAUUGCCCCCUUUUGUAAAA